CAGUCGCCGCGGUAAAACGGAGGGUGCAAGCGUUAAUCGGAAUUACUGGGCGUAAAGCGUGCGUAGGCGGUUCGUUAAGUCUGUUGUGAAAGCCCCGGGCUCAACCUGGGAAUGGCAAUGGAUACUGGCGAGCUAGAGUGUGUCAGAGGAUGGUGGAAUUCCCGGUGUAGCGGUGAAAUGCGUAGAGAUCGGGAGGAACAUCAGUGGCGAAGGCGGCCAUCUGGGACAACACUGACGCUGAGGCACGAAAGCGUGGGGAGCAAACAGGAUUAGAUACCCGCGUAGUCCCUGUCUCUUAUAU
rnacentral:rRNA from 1 species